rnacentral:rRNA from 1 species
AUGGAGGCCAAGGACGUCGCGCCGCUCACCGCCGCCGCCCCCACCGCGCCGGCCCCGGCCCCGGCCCCUGCCCCUGCCCCGGUUUCGCAGGCUAAGCCGCAGCCGCCGCCGCAGCCGCACACGCAGCCACCGCCGAUCGCCUCCAUGCCGCCGCCACCGCAUCCGUUCGCGCACCAUCAGCACCACCACCAUCACCAGCACCAGCAGCAGCAGCAACAGCAGCCGCCGGCUGGGUCGGCGAACCCUGCCGCGCCCAUGCCGGGAGGCGGCAUGAGGCUCUCGUUCGACCAGAUGGUGGGGAAGCCGCCCGGGGAGCACCACCCUCACCAGCACCAGCACCCGCAUCAGCAUCAGCAUCAGCACCCGCACCAGCAUCACCCUCCGGGCCCCAUGCUCUACGCCGCGCCGCCGCCCCACGCUGUGGCGCCACCGCCGGGCAGCAAUGCGCUCGGCAUGGGCGACCUUAUGCGCAAGAAGCGGGGCCGCCCGCGCAAGUACGCGCCCGACGGGAGCAUGGCCCUCGCGCUCGCGCCCCUCUCCUCCGCCUCUGGCGGCGCCGCGCCGCCCCCGCCUCCAGGCCAGCAGCACGGCUUCUCCAUCAGCAGCCCCCCGUCCGAUCCCAACGCCAAGCGUCGCGGCCGCCCCCCUGGCUCCGGCAAGAAGAAGCAGUUCGAAGCACUCGGGUCGUGGGGCAUCUCCUUCACUCCGCACAUCCUCUCCGUCAAGGCCGGCGAGGAUGUUGCUUCAAAAAUAAUGUCCUUCUCACAGCAAGGACCUCGCACAGUUUGCAUUCUUUCAGCAAAUGGUGCAAUAAGCAAUGUAACACUUCGGCAGCCAGCUACAUCUGGUGGACUGGUGACGUACGAGGGUCGAUUUGAGAUCAUCUCCCUAUCUGGUUCAUUCCUGCUUGCAGAAGAUGGUGACACCCGUAGCAGGACUGGUGGAUUGAGUGUUGCACUUGCAGGAUCUGAUGGCCGGGUUCUUGGUGGAUGUGUAGCUGGGCAGCUAACGGCUGCGACACCUGUUCAGGUUGUCGUAGCUAGUUUCAUAGCCGAAGGUAAAAAAUCAAAGCCCGCUGAGCCACGGAAGGUUGAACCGAUGUCCGCACCUCCACAGAUGGCCACCUAUGUGCCAGCUCCAGUGGCCAGCCCUCCCUCAGAGGGCACAUCCAGCGCAUCAUCUGAUGACUCCGGCAGCCCCAUCAACCACGGCGGGAUGCCCUACAACCACUCUGGUGGGCAGCAGCACCAGCAGCAGCACAUGCCCCCUGCGUAUGCAUCCGGCGGCUGGUCACUCUCGGCGCACCAUCAGAACAACAACAGGCAUGACGCCGACAUGAAGAUGAUGUCGAACUAA